CAAGGUAUCAAGAAGUGAGACUGAACCCAAAACCGCUUGGUUGGGAAGCAAGCUUCUUGAUCAUAUGGCUAAUCAAGAUUAUAACAUAAAUACAAGGGGGUGUUGAAAAUUUCCUGGUUUUAAGAAGAAUAUUACAAAAGGCCUGGUUGGUGGCUCAACCUUCUGUGCUCUUUUACAGGGCUUAGAAUACGAUCGCACGGGCUAGUAUCAACUAGCCUUCACGCUACGGGUCCCCUGCGAAUCCGCCCUAUCAACUGUUGACGGCCUGGUAAGUGCUGACCGUGGUGGCAAUGGGUAACAGGGGAUUGGGGUUCAAUUCCAGAGAGGAAGCAUGCGAAACGGCUACCACAUCCAAGAAAGGCAG
rnacentral:ncRNA from 1 species